rnacentral:lncRNA from 1 species
GGAAAAGUCGGCCCUAGGCGGCGGGAGGUCCUUCCGGCGGAGGAUCCGAAAUGUGGAAAAUCGAAAAGGCUUGGAGCUAAAGGUGGUGGCCAAGACCCUUCUUCUCGGCCCCUUCCUGUUCGUCCGUAAUUCCCUGGCGCAGCUCCGGGAAGAGGUGCACGAACUGCAGGCGUGGUGGUUCCCCAGCAGAACCACUUUGGACAUCGCCGUCCUUGUGGCAUAUCUACAUUGGUAAGAUUUAGUUUCAGUUUGAAAUAUUUAAAAACAUUUGAAUUAAAAAUUGCCAUCUCUCUUUGCAUACAGUAAAA